rnacentral:rRNA from 1 species
UUAUUUGAGAGUUUGAUCCUGGCUCAGGAUGAACGCUGGCGGCGUGCCUAACACAUGCAAGUUGAGCGAUUUACUUCGGUAAAGAGCGGCGGACGGGUGAGUAACGCGUGGGUAACCUACCCUGUACACACGGAUAACAUACCGAAAGGUAUGCUAAUACGGGAUAAUAUAUUUGAGAGGCAUCUCUUGAAUAUCAAAGGUGAGCCAGUACAGGAUGGACCCGCGUCUGAUUAGCUAGUUGGUAAGGUAACGGCUUACCAAGGCGACGAUCAGUAGCCGACCUGAGAGGGUGAUCGGCCACAUUGGAACUGAGACACGGUCCAAACUCCUACGGGAGGCAGCAGUGGGGAAUAUUGCACAAUGGGCGAAAGCCUGAUGCAGCAACGCCGCGUGAGUGAUGAAGGCCUUCGGGUCGUAAAACUCUGUCCUCAAGGAAGAUAAUGACGGUACUUGAGGAGGAAGCCCCGGCUAACUACGUGCCAGCAGCCGCGGUAAUACGUAGGGGGCUAGCGUUAUCCGGAUUUACUGGGCGUAAAGGGUGCGUAGGCGGUCUUUCAAGUCAGGAGUGAAAGGCUACGGCUCAACCGUAGUAAGCUCUUGAAACUGGGAGACUUGAGUGCAGGAGAGGAGAGUGGAAUUCCUAGUGUAGCGGUGAAAUGCGUAGAUAUUAGGAGGAACACCAGUUGCGAAGGCGGCUCUCUGGACUGUAACUGACGCUGAGGCACGAAAGCGUGGGGAGCAAACAGGAUUAGAUACCCUGGUAGUCCACGCUGUAAA